CAACAGGGAUUGCCCUAGUAACGGCGAGUGAAGCGGCAACAGCUCAAAUUUGAAAUCUGGCCUCGGCCCGAGUUGUAAUUUGCAGAGGAUGUUUCUGGCGCGGUGCCUUCCGAGUUCCCUGGAACGGGACGCCACAGAGGGUGAGAGCCCCGUAUGGUUGGACACCAAGCCUGUGUGAAACUCCUUCGACGAGUCGAGUAGUUUGGGAAUGCUGCUCUAAAUGGGAGGUAAAUCUCUUCUAAAGCUAAAUACCGGCCAGAGACCGAUAGCGCACAAGUAGAGUGAUCGAAAGAUGAAAAGCACCUUGAAAAGGGGGUUAAACAGUACGUGAAAUUGUUGAAAGGGAAGCGCUCAUGACCAGACUUGUGCCGGGCGGUUCAUCCGGGGUUCUCCCCGGUGCACUCCGCCCGGUUCAGGCCAGCAUCGGUUCUCGUUGGGGGAUAAGAACGGUAGGAACGUGGCCCUCCCUCGGGAGGGUGUUAUAGCCUGCCGUACGAUACCCUGAUGGGGACCGAGGUUCGCGCUCCGCAAGGAUGCUGGCGUAAUGGUCAUCAGCGACCCGUCUUGAAACACGGACCAAGGAGUCGUCCAUUAGAGCGAGCGUUUGGGUGUAAAACCCGCACGCGUAAUGAAAGUGAAAUUAGGUGAGAGCUUCGGCGCAUCAUCGACCGAUCCUGAUGUUCUCGGAUGGAUUUGAGUAAGAGUUUUAACGGACGGACCCGAAAGACAGUGAACUAUGCUUGUAUAGGGUGAAGCCAGAGGAAACUCUGGUGGAGGCUCGCAGCGGUUCUGACGUGCAAAUCGAUCGUCAAAUAUGAGCAUGGGGGCGAAAGACUAA
rnacentral:rRNA from 1 species